rnacentral:lncRNA from 1 species
ACGUGGUGCCCCGUGCCGGCCCGGCCAGCUACUCUCGCGGUGGGCGCGCGCGUCGGGGCGGCGGGGUGUGGGCCCGGAGGCCGUGGGCUCCUUCCCGACCAGCCCCCGCAGCUGUCUGACAACCUGUCGACACGGGUUUACAGCUGUCUGACACCGGGUUUGCAGUUUCGCGGCCGAGGUGUGUCCCCUUUUUAACAAAAACAACUUGGCGCCUGCUUUUCUACUGUUUGGGCAGCGGGGAAGGGGCCGGCGGCCUGGACGCUGGUGACAGCGAGGGGGGAGCGGCCUCUCCCCCGAGUCCCGCGCGGCCGGGGCCUCCAGGGGACAUCUUUGGCAGAAGUGCACCCGGACGCUCUCCGCGAGCCACUGAACCGGCGUGGCGUGACACCCCCGACUCCAGAUGCGGGUUCCCGUGGGCCCCUACUGGGUAGUAACCGAUCGUCUGGCAAAUCCCGCGGAGAAGUCGCCAGCUCGGGGGAAGCAGGCGCAGUCGGCGCCGCGGGUUCUCGGAGGGAGGGGUGGGGGAGACGCGGGGGGAGGGGCUUUCUCUUCACCCAGAAAGCCCCCUGGCAGCCGGAGGGAAACAUCCCCCGCGCCCCCGCGAAGGGGGAAGACGGUGUGGCCUGGACGCCCGGUUUGUCCACCAGGUGUGCAGAGGCAGACAGGAAACUUGUGUGGAACGCGCGAACCCGAGUCGGCGCCGCCGCCAGACCGGCAACGGAGCGGCCUCUUGGGUCCAAGUCCCGCGUCCCUCUUCUCCCUGCGUCUCCCCUCUCCAUCCUCAGCCUCGUCGGGCUACAGGACGCGGCCAGGCGCGGCGCACUUGAGAUGGGCUCCGUUUCGCCGCGGCCCUGGCCGUGCGGCUCCCGGGAGAAGAUGCCAAGUGCACGGGCCUCCUCGCCUCCCUGAGCCUGGGAAGGCGCUGGCAGGCCACUUCUGCGCCUCGUGGCUGGAGAGCUCCGGACGGUGCCGUGGGGAACCGGGUACCAGUCCCGGCUCCCGGGGCCACUUUGCGAACCACCUCCUACGCAGAGACGGGGCCGGGAGUUCACCCCGCUGCGGCUCUCCAGCACACCGGACUCCGCGGGAAUUUCAGCAGCGCACUCUGGCGUCUUCUCGGCUUUAGGCCGGGUUGGGGCUACGGGAUGAAGGCGGCCAUCGGGCCAGAGUCGGCAUGCUGUUCUGCUGGUGGUUUGAGCCACCCGUAUCCUGGACACCGGCCAGGCGGUCCCUUCACCCCCUGCCUCGCUUCCCUCUCUUCACGGAGCCUCGAGGCCCAGGGACUUCAGCAGCAUCAGGAGGGGCUCCGGUUUUCCGGGCCUGAGGACAGACACUGAGACAUCGCCUAUAAUUAGCAACAAUAAUGCCCGUGAUGGUAGUAAUUACUAAUAACCAGCUCCGACAUCGGGCUUGAUUUUUCCCUGCUCUGAGUCAGAUUGUCUUGCUAGUCAUGCUGCUUCCCGCGCUCAAUUCGCCCCUCCACACUCCAGGAUCCGCCUACAACCUCCAGGGUUCCUUUCCUGCUUUUACAUAGAUUCCGGGCUGGGUUUGUGGGGACGCCGAGGGUUGGUGGGGAGUGGAUUCUUGGUGACACAAAUCCGGGAAGCCCCUAACUGCAGCUUUUUCCUGUUCCCCAGCCUACCACCAGACACCUUCUAACCCUAAGACAGAUUUCCGAUCUUCAACCUCCUCUCCUCUAUACCCAAAACAAAUCCAUCCAUUGCCUGUGACUCACUGUGUGAGAAGUGGGCCAGUCCCACCCACCCCUGUCCUGUUCAGCAAACUACAGUGUCACAUUUCAGGUUGACAGGGGAGAUACGCCCUCUUGAGUGACCUGGAGAAUGAGGUGGGAUGUAAGUCCAGGGACACUUCUCAGCCUUGGGAUUCAGCUACAGCUUAUCUGCCUCCAUCCAACCCACUGAGCACCACCGCCCACCCCACCCGCAAGCCUCAGGUCUCUCUGCAGCUGGCAGAGCUCUGUGGGGAGGCAGGAAUAGGGGAGUGGAGGCUUCAUCCUAACUCAACCAGCCCACUCCUCUGUGCCCCGGCUGCAUCACCUCCAUUGGCAUCACAUCACAAAGUGAUUGCAGGCUCCUCAAAACACCAGGGAGCUGGGUGGGGAGGAGCUGGGUGGGGAGGACCUGGCUGGGCCCCACCUGGAGACUCCCCUGUGAAUCCUGCCUGAGGACUGCACAGUUCCUGGGGAAGCGGCACUAGCAAAGCUGGGUAACUUGCUCCCUGGAGAGCCCUGCAAAGGUGCAGAAGGGGAGAUUGUGGUCUAUUCUCUGCCCAAGGCCAGGGCCUGAGGCUGCACUCCAGGUCCCUCGCCUAAAACCAAUUCUAGGAAGUCCUUUCUAGGAAGCUCUAGCAGAGCCUGGCAGGCCCUGACUCACCUCCUCUCUUCUUUCUCCUUGGCCCUUGUCCCCAAAACUUUCACCUAGGAUACUAGGAAGCAGGGUAGACUGAGAGAAAGAGAGAGAGAAUUGCCACCAAAGCAUCCCAUCAGAGAGGGGGAGGGGCGGAGAAGGAGCUAGAAUCUCCUGGCUCAGCCCCUCCUGGUAGAGUUUCCUCCCACUCGUUCUGCCACUCAUUUUCAGCAGCAAAUGUUUCAGUGGGGCCCAGGGCUUCAUGGCCUCAGAUGCUGGAGCAGGCAGAAGGGCUGUGCGUCUGGAAUCCGUGGGCCUGAUUUGAACGUCCUUUUAAAAAUGUCGUGAGAAGGUCUAAAACUUUCCCUCAAAGAGACUGCCCCUGCCGCUGCCCGGACUCAGCAUCACUGGCAUCUAGGACCAUCCCUCUGGUGGCCCUAGGGGUGCCAGGCAAAGGCGAUGGACAUUGGAAUGGGAGGUUGUGUGGUUCCCUCUGCUUGGCCUUCGAAACCGACGCCCCAGCUGUGAGGCGCUGGACCUCUGAGGCAGGAGAGAGCCACUUUGUUGGCCCCUCAGCCACUUUUCCUGCCUCCAAAGGGGGUGGCUGAGGCAGGCCCUGCCGCUGCUCCGGAAGUUGCUCCUGGCGGAGCUGGCCGCACCCGGUGGCUGCCCCCUGGUCACUGUGCCAGAGACAAAGACGAGGAGCCUGACAAAACCAGGUCUAGGGGUCGCUGCGCAGCGGAAUCGGAGCUCCUCCUGCUUAGCGCCGGGGAUCCAGUCCGGAAGCCCUUGGGCCCCAGUGCUCCGGGGACCCAAGGCACGUGGCCCAGAAGGCUGGCAAGACCCCGCGAAGCUCGGCAAUGGGGGGUGACUGGGACACCCCUGCUGGGAAGCUAGGACCUUCAGCGCGUCCAGGGCUGGGACAGAUGCAGGCCUCCGGCUGCAGCGGCAUGGGCAGAGAGCGCGCGUGUCUCGGGGAGCGCAGGGGGCAGGCUGUGGGGGUGGGGGUUGGGCGGGGAGGAGAGGAAAGGCCCAGAGGCGGUAGUGGAGGGGGACGGGCGUUGGUGUGCAACUGCAGUUUAAGCUAACUUGAUUAAGCUGGUGUUAAGGCUUCAUGGAAAGUUUACUUGCAAGGUGCUGCUGUUGUUAUCAUUAUUAUUAUGAGUCAGUUUUCUAAAUGGGAGGGAUUUUUUAUUCCUGGAGAAGAUCGUUUCCCUUUUCUCUCUCCCAACCCUCGGUGAGGAUUCCACCCGCCCUGCCCCACCCUCCUGGGGCAUAUUUACAUCAGGACAAGAUUAAACAUACCCAACAGCUUCCUAAUUUACAAUUUUAUUUCUUGGGAAACAGUUCGCUGGUCUUGAAGCUCUGCAGUCCGGGGGUCGCUAAGGAAGAGGAGGAUGCUCGUGGGGACGCAUCACUCCCGGAAGCCGUCUGUGGGACCAGCCUUUGGCGCCGAGAACCAGGCGACACAGACCUGCCGCGGGAUGCAACGGGUGGCGCGGCCCUGGCCUCCUGCCUUCACAAUGGCCACUGUCAGCUCCAGAUGGCGGGGCUCUGCGCUGGGCCGCGGCUCGGUGGCGACGGAGGCGGCCUGACCUGGCGCCGCGCCCCGACUCGCGCGCAGACUUAGGAGUCUGCUUAAAAACGCACUAGGACUUCGCACCGUCCCUCAGCAGCAGCUGGGAGGCCACCCAAGUCGGCGACAUUGAGGCAAUAGUCAGACAGUCCUCAGCUGUUGAGACCCCCGGUGGGUCCGGCCGCUGCGACUCGAUGGUUCCCUAGGCUCCGACCCCUGUGUCCAGUCUGCGCUUUCCUGCCACGCCAGGCAGGGACCGGUGGCCCCUGGGGACCAAGAAUAGUCUACAAUGAGCGCCCCGAGGGUGCAGGGCUGCAGGGACCCAGUGGCGAGCGGAGCUGAGUUGGGCAGGCGGGAGGAGUCGACUCGAGCCGCUCCAAGGAAACCCCAGAAGGAAACGCCCAGAAGCGAAGGACGCAGGACGGUCGCAGGCUGCGGGGAGUGCCCCCCGCGGCAAGCAUCGCGGAACCAGGUCCUCAGCAGCGUGGGGACACCACCCGGGAACGCGGCGGGCGGACCAAGGGCGACCCAGGCCCUAAAGCUGCGGCACUGGGCCCGUAUUUCCCACAAACGCAGGGCAGAGGAAUGGACCGCAGUGGCCUGGCCUGGAGUGCCGCUACGACGCCGUCCCCAGUGUCGAAGGAAGUGAAUUACAUGCGUGUGCACACACGUAAAUAUUUUAUAAACCUCCCCUUAAUUAACCAGAUCAUUUCCAUUAUGCCUCCAAUAUGAACAACAGCAGCGGUGUGAGAGUUCUCAGGGCUUCUUAUUUGAUGUCACCAGACGGUUGCUCGGGGGCAGAGGCACCAUCGCCGUGCCAGCUGCACUUGUAUUUAUUUGUUUUUCUGCCUUGUUCCUGUAGGGCUCCAUUAUGCGGUUUUUAAUUAGUUUGUGUUUGUAUUUCACCCGUCCCAAAUCAAUGCCAUCCCGAAGCAAGGCGAUGUAAAUUCUCUCAGUACAGGUGUAGCUGCCUGCGCGGGUACACCGGCAAACGCGUGUCUGACAAAUGAAAGCGGGGCCGCUGCGCAGCCGACUGUCAGCUCUCGGCAGCGGAGAGGCGCGGAUCAAAGCCAGCGGGACUUCUGCGCCCCCGUGAGCGCCGUCGUGGCUGCGGCUCCUAAUGUCAUUAGAGGAGGCCGGGCUGCGCACGGCGUGAGGAACAAAGUGACUUUUCAUUUUGCUCAGGUCCUCUGGUCUUUGGGCCAGCGCUGGCCUCAGAAUCGCCUCCCGCUUGGGGCCUAUCGGAUGCAGCUGAAACCGCAGUGGCUCCCGCCAGGAUCCCUGGCUGUGCGCACCCGCACCCGCACCCGCACCCGCAGUGACCCAGAGCCCUGGGAUCACUGUGGCUUCCCAACGGGUCCCGCUAACCUUAACCCGCAGCCUUAAGCUGAAACUGCCCUGGAAUCUCUAGACAGGAGACAUCCCCUCUCCGUGUUGUGUUUGCAUCUCCGCCUUCUUGAAAUGACCUCUGUGGAGCGCGUGUGUAUCUGUUCUUCCAGCCAUGGGGAAUUCUUUUAAAGCUUUCUUUUUUUGUCAGGAGCAAGAGAUAGCUCAUCUUUAACUAGGCCACAUAGAAAUUAUGAUUCAACAGCAGUGUAUAUUUAAUUAGAGUAAUCUCACUUGAAUUUAAUUACCUAAUGAAUUAUUUGUUUAAAAGGUAGAACGUCUUGUUUGCGAAGUACCAUGCAGACCUCCGAUAAGAAUUUCUGUUACGAGGACGUUACAGUUUAAGAGCAGGCAUGUGUAAGGUUUCUAUUUUAACUCUUUGAGUAUGUGACUGUUACUGUACACUCCAACAAAAACUAAGAUGGUGGGUACAGUCUGGUGGGUAGAGUCCGGAGGGCAGUGGGCAUGACCCUGGCCACACAGAGGUGCGCUCCUGUUAUGUACACGUGUGUGCCCAAGUCGCUUUGGAAAUUAAUAUCCUUUGACUGUCAUGUGAGUCGAGUUUAUCUUAAAACUUAUUUCAUGUUGCUUUCAGUGCCAUUUUUUCCCUCCUGGUGCAAGUCAGGACAGUUCUCUACUAGUGAACUCAUUUUAUGAAAGUGUUUAAAACAAAAUAAUGCAUCCUUCAGAAGACUCCAGUCAAGCCACCGAGUCCCACGCACUCCUUGAGCCUCUCCCAUCCUAGCUCCUCUUGAUCCCUGAGGCAUUCACACUACCAACAAGAAGUCUGUCAGGGAGUUGUUGUUUUGUUUGUUUGUUUGUUGUUUGUUUUAACUUACAGCAAUGGGAGGUACCACAUCCCAGACUUUGACCUAAACUCUUAAGUCUUAAACUGUGGAGCAACCUCAUUUCCUCUUGGUUUCCAAAAGCAAGAACCACUAACUCCAAGCCAUGACAACUUUUGAGAGGCUCCAAAGGUAAUUUGUCUCCACACAAUGCCAACAACUGGUGCAUCUAAUGCAACUUUAAGAAUUUUCUAUCACUGCUGCAUGAUGAAAUGCCAGCAGGGAAACUUACAUAGGGGUUUAGGGAGGGGGCAGAGAGCAUUUCACCCUCUUCCUGAAAAGAAGAUAGGAAAUAAGAAGAACUCAAAUCAACUUGGUUGAAUUCCACUGUCAUUUUCAUUAAUAUUUCAAUAAUCAAAUAAUUUUUUUAAUUGUAAGCUCAUGAACUAUUGUCAGAUAAAUAUCAAAUAUUAUUAGUAUAGUGUUCAAUCAAGUAGGAAGGGGUUUAGAAAAUGCAACAAGUUGAUAAAAAUGAUUGACUUUUUAUUUCUUUUUAGAAUUCCUGACUCUUAUCAUAACUGUGCAUUUUGAAAUUGAUGUUCUAACAACCAAUAGUGGUUAAAAUAUACUAUCCACUUAAUUACAUUCAAUUAUGGUUAUAGUAGCAUGUCUCAUUCAAAGAACCAGAUCUACAUGGAUGCAUACUUAAAACUUAUUUAUCAAUUUACUUCACAUAUUCUUCCCAAUAACAACAGACAGUAACGACCAGAGAGGAAGUAAGAUACUAGCUUAGAAAGGAAAAUACAUUUCCCAGAGCUGAGCAAAUCCAGAGAAGAUUUCAGGGUAAAACCCUCAAAGGAUUUAUAUGUGUGUGAUGGAAGCAGGGGAAAGUACUAAAUGGUGUAUUUGUGUUUGAUGUUUCAAAAAUAUUUAAAAUUUAGACCAGUG